ensembl:lncRNA
UAAAGAAAGGCACGCAACUGCGGAGGACAAACAAGGUGGCCGUUUUUUUCCCCCACUUUGACAAAUCGAUGUAGUUGGAACUGGAUUCCACAAAGCCUGGUCUCGGCUCCACACUGUUGGUGAAGUUCAUUAGGAACUUCCUUCACCAUGGAGUGGAGUUUAGUCUACUAGAGGAAGGUCAGCCUUGAGCUUGUCCCUAGAAUUGAAUUAAGACAACCUCCUUUGAUUCUACAGCAUAGUUUACAUUUGGCUGGAAUUCCUUCCUUUGAGGUGUCAGAGUUGACUGUACAGCAGUGUUCCUCCUUGGAGCUUCAUUUCAGGAAUGCAAAUGCCUUGGGCCCAGACAGGCAGUGAUUUAUCUCCUCAUCUAUCCUUGCACACAACUGCUUGUGCCCUUGUGUCUGCCUGUUGCUCAUUCCUUCCUCCUCUCAGUCAGCGCGUCUAGCAUGAGCCCUGGGACUCCCCCGCGUGCCCCUGUCUGCCCUACCUCCCCCCACACACUGGCCCUGGUGCCUCCCCUAACCCUGCCACAGCAGACAGUGACUCUGGGGGGGCACAGUCAACCCUGAUAAGAGAUUACUCUCAGAGGAGCACAGUGGGAGCUCCUGGCAACCCAACAUGCUGCUCCCUGACUCAUGUGGAUGAACAGAGCAUGUGCGGGAAGGGAUGCAGGUUUAUUUUUCCUGUCAGAACAGGGUAUGAACAGCAGCAGGGCCAGCGCCUGUGAAAAAGUCUCAUAUUUCUAAAACACUGUGGCCCACCCUUCAGUAGAGCAAUGGUACAAACGAUGGCUAGACAUGUUUGCCUGUAUCCUUGUAUUUCAUCUUCAGAUGUCCCCUGUCCUUUUGCACUAUGACCCUCACCUUUCUCCUACAGCUCCUCCUGCUUCAUCUUGAGUUCUAAUUUCUUAGUCCAUGCUCGUUGUAGGGUGCUGCUGAGAAACUACCGCCUGGUGUGAGGUCAGGUGUUAUUUAUCACAGCCGUCUCACUGGGAGUUGACAUUCUUAAAGGUGUUCUAAUUGAGUCUCCUUGUCUUUUCUAGGACACCAACAUAUAUAUCUAUGUCAGGACACCUCACAGCUAUAUAUUACCCGCUUCACAGAGGAAGACAAGAGAUUACUUAUCAUUCUUCAUGAGCUUAAUACAGAGCGGGAGACACAUCUAUCUCAAAACAUGGCGCUUUACACAUUUUCCAGUAUUUGCAUAAAUGCUUUAUAAAUAUGCAUAUCACUAUUUUCAGAGGUCACACAGAGUUAGUAAGCAUUUUCAUUUUAGUAAGUUAUAUUAGGUAACCUGCCAGGUAUGCAGAAUGAAGUACAUCCUUGAUCAUUCAAACAAGGUGUUUGCGUCACACUUUAAUUGAGUAGUCCAGAUAGUCCAUCUGUAGAUGCUCUACAGAUAGUCAUACUAUCAACAAACUAUCUGUUGAUAAGCAACUGCUUGCUAAGGUUACAGUUAUGGCUAGGUUUAGAAUAAGGGUUAGGAUAAGGAUUAAGGUUGG